rnacentral:rRNA from 1 species
GACGAACGCUGGCGGCGUGCCUAAUACAUGCAAGUCGAGCGAAGUUUUUCUGGUGCUUGCACUAGAAAAACUUAGCGGCGAACGGGUGAGUAACACGUAAAGAACCUGCCUCAUAGACUGGGACAACUAUUGGAAACGAUAGCUAAUAUCGGAUAACAGCAUUAACUGCAUGGUUGAUGUUUAAAAGUUGGUUUUGCUAACACUAUGAGAUGGCUUUGCGGUGCAUUAGCUAGUUGGUGGGGUAAAGGCCUACCAAGGCGACGAUGCAUAGCCGACCUGAGAGGGUGAUCGGCCACACUGGGACUGAGACACGGCCCAGACUCCUACGGGAGGCAGCAGUAGGGAAUCUUCCGCAAUGGGCGAAAGCCUGACGGAGCAACGCCGCGUGAGUGAAGAAGGAUUUCGGUUCGUAAAGCUCUGUUGUUAGGGAAGAAUGAUUGUGUAGUAACUAUACACAGUAGAGACGGUACCUAACCAGAAAGCCACGGCUAACUACGUG